AGCUCUUGGGAGUAGGUGGAAAACCUGUUUUUCGUUGCUGCAGAAACCUGCCCUUUGUUUCCAGAGAAAUGUUCCAAUAAGUGAAUCAUUCUGUACUACAAAAUCAAAGACAACUCAGAGAGAUCUUUGGAGACCCCCAAACAGCAUUUGUAUUAUGUGAUGGAACUAGAUGAUGCCCAUUCGGAUUACUCUUUGGAUACCUUUGCUUGCUGUCAUCAGUGCAGAGAAAGGGGGAUGGAUUGUGCCUAUGCUACAAAUCUCAGCUGGAAACAGAGCUCCAUGCAAACUCCUGGCCGUCUGCCUGCGUGACUAGGAAGAAGGCGGGGGAGAUCUGCAGUGAUGGCAACACAGAAGAUGAGAUGAUGGUCAAAGGGGUGCCCUGUGUGGUUUCAGCUCAGCUGGACAAUGUGGAUACCAACCUCUGGGUUUGCAAGAGUAUGUGUAGCUGACACCAGGGCGAGCCUGGAGCAUUUCUGUUUCUUACCAAUAUGGACUCGCUCUUUCUGUACCUCAGAAUAGUAACUGCUGAGAGAUAACAGCAGGAGCAUGCUAUCAUGGCCCUGACCAUUUUGAGGCAUUCAUAUGGGAAUAUAGUUGGCCACAAUUGGAGUAACCUGGCUCUUCUUACAUUCUUAUCUGCUGAAAUGUUAUGCUUUUAACUGGAACAGAACAUCUGGAUUGCCACAUCUAAAAAGGAUUGUUUCUUUUGACAAUGGAUUGUUACAGAGCUUGGAAAGAAAAUUGUAACCAUAUGACAAGGGGAGUGUGCUACAAGGAUAUAAUGUAACAAUGAUUGUCUUAAAAUGUAAAGCAGAGGCUUUUUGAUGUAGAAAAAAAAGACAGUUGUUAUACAGCUAUUAAAAUAUGUGCUUUGGAGUUAUUGGAGGGUAUUUGAGUUUUCUUCCUCUAACAUUAGAAUUUGAAGUCAUAUACCCUUCAAGAAGUUUUGCCGACCAGCAACAGAGUGUGAUCAAGAUGGCAAAAGUUAUUAAAAGGAAAGAACAAACAGACAAGUUAGGAGAGACUGCAGCAGUUUCCUUCUGCUUGAACCUUUUGGGAAGGGCAAGAUUCUGUCCCCACUUUUCCCUUUGUUGAGUUAACUGAAUGCAAAUUAUUCCUGCACCAUGGCCUCAGUUUUCAGUAGCUGAAGCAAGUGAAGUGCACAUUGGUAAAGUAUGAUGAAGUGGAGAAAGUAACUGAGACACUUCUUUAAAAAGCUGAAAAAGUGGGAGGACCAAGGAUUAACUGAGCCAGUCCUUGGCAAAUCAAGACAAUAGAAGGGUAUGGAGUCAUCCAAUAAAGAGAGAUUUGACAAUAAAAUGAAUAAUAAUCAUGAUGUUAUCAAUAGGAAGGCGAAACACCAGGUACUGGGAAUACAGGCAAGAGAGGCCUAUUGCCUUUAUAUCCAGGUUUUGCAGUUACUUAGUUGUCCACUGAGGAAUACAGAUGUUCUAGUGGAUAGGCCUUUGUUCUGAUCCAGUAGUGAUUCAUACAGAUCUGAGCUUAGAGUCUGCUGAAACAGAAGUGACCCUUUCCUGGUUGCAUUCAACCCCUGCUUUAUGGAAAUUUUUGUCUCACGUAACCUUGAGAGAUCCUAACUUCAUUGAAGGUCAGGAGGAUACCCUGUGAUGUCUAUAGCAAUGUUGAUACAUUUACAAUUGUUUGCUGUCAUAAUAACAUACAGAUAUGUUUCUCCAAACACUUGAGGACGUGCUCUGGCCUUCAUAACUGACUGUGUUCACUGGAGUGAAUCCACUGACUAUUUGGAAAGACAACUAGUUUUCACACUUGUAAAUACAGGUAUGAUUCUAGUACAUGCCUGCACAACCUGUGUCCCUCCAGGUGUUUGAGAUCCAAACUCCCAGAAGCCCUAGCAAGCUUGUCUAAUAGUCAGGAAUUCUAGGAAUUAAAGUCCAAACACCUGGAGGACCACAAGUAGUGCAGGCCUGGUCUAGGGUAUCCCUAGAAAAUGUAUAUGCCAUGUGUCAUGGGCACUCGAAUCCCCAUUUCUGUUAACCAAACCUAGCAUUCUAGUUGCUAUGCUACAGUGGCACUUACAUUUAGUUCUCAUGGGAGUUGUGGGAAUGAAAAAUAAAGAUGACAACAUUCACUCGGUUUUGAAAACAAACAUUUCCCUGCUAGCUCCUUUCUAAGUAGCUUUUCUUCUUUUUUCUUCUUCCAGGUAAGAACCAAAAGCAAAUAAUCUCAAGAGGUUGAUUGCUUGCUCACCUGCACAUUCAGAGACUCCAUAUGCAGCCUGACAAAGGCAUAGAGCUUGUUUAAAGUUUUAAUUCUUCAAUGCCUUUUAAGAUAGAUUGGAGCAGUCUGAUACUACAUUCCACAAAAUAUACUAACAUU